UGAGCUAGAAAAGUCUUCCUCAGGUCCAGU
rnacentral:piRNA from 1 species